rnacentral:rRNA from 1 species
CAAGGUCUCCGUUGGUGAACCAGCGGAGGGAUCAUUACUGAGUUUACGCUCUAUAACCCUUUGUGAACAUACCUAUAACUGUUGCUUCGGCGGGUAGGGUCCCCGCGACCCUCCCGGCCUCCCGCCUCCGGGCGGGUCGGCGCCCGCCGGAGGAUAACCAAACUCUGAUUUAACGACGUUUCUUCUGAGUGGUACAAGCAAAUAAUCAAAACUUUUAACAACGGAUCUCUUGGUUCUGGCAUCGAUGAAGAACGCAGCGAAAUGCGAUAAGUAAUGUGAAUUGCAGAAUUCAGUGAAUCAUCGAAUCUUUGAACGCACAUUGCGCCCGCCAGCAUUCUGGCGGGCAUGCCUGUUCGAGCGUCAUUUCAACCCUCAAGCUCUGCUUGGUGUUGGGGCCCUACAGCUGAUGUAGGCCCUCAAAGGUAGUGGCGGACCCUCCCGGAGCCUCCUUUGCGUAGUAACUUUACGUCUCGCACUGGGAUCCGGAGGGACUCUUGCCGUAAAACCCCCCAAUUUUCCAAAGGUUGACCUCGGAUCAGGUAGGAAUACCCGCUGAACUUAAGCA